UUAAAUACAUAAAAGUAAGGGUUGUUAGUAAGACUUGAAAUAUAAAAUGACGAUUUUCUCCUUUAUAAAUAUACAUUUUCUAACACUCAACACACCCCCCAAAUAAAGCGAAAACAAAAUUCAAACACAAUUUUUUUUUUUAAACAAUCUUGUUUAUUCAAUCAGACUAAUGAUAGCAAUCAAAUAAAAGUAUAAGUAUUAUCUCCAGUCUAAAGCAACAUCACACCCACAUCAACCAUCCACAUGAAUCAGCUUAGUAGAUUGUCAUAACUACUUUCAAGAAUGACAUGUCAAACCCCAAAAUCUCACUGGAAGUAGUGACACUCUCACAAAGAAAUUAAACCCAAUAAAAAUAGUCACUCCAA
rnacentral:lncRNA from 1 species